AGUGCAACUGUAGCGUUUCUGACUCCAGAUCAGAGGGUUGCGUGUUCAAAUCACGU
rnacentral:tRNA from 1 species